UCGGAUGUCGUCACAACAGGAGGCAAUAGCGUUGUGUGGUGACAGAGUCAUGUAGUACUGAAACGUUAUGGGAUAAAAGGGAAGCAUUUUCAUAAUCCAGUGAGUUCAAUGAACAUGGGGUCUUAUCCAGAGAAGACUGAAGGCUUUCCUUUGCCAGAAACUGAGCCAUCAUAUCUUCACAUUGGCACAAUCCCUCAUCACCUUCGAUUCUCAUUUUGGUUACACUCCUUGGGAUGUCAUAAUAAUUCCUUUUCAGAUGUGUACCUGCUGGAAGUAGC